GUUCUUCGGAAUUAGAGACCGGCGCACGGGUGCGUAACGCGUAUGCGAUCUACCUUUUACAGAGGGAUAGCCCAGAGAAAUUUGGAUUAAUACCUCAUAGCAUUGCAGAAUGGCAUCAUUCAGCAAUUAAAGUCACAACGGUAAAAGAUGAGCAUGCGUCCCAUUAGCUAGUUGGUAAGGUAACGGCUUACCAAGGCUACGAUGGGUAGGGGUCCUGAGAGGGAGAUCCCCCACACUGGUACUGAGACACGGACCAGACUCCUACCGGAGGCAGCAGUGAGGAAUAUUGGACAAUGGGCGCAAGCCUGAUCCAGCCAUGCCGCGUGCAGGAUGACGGUCCUAUGGAUUGUAAACUGCUUUUGCACAGGAAGAAACAACGCUACGUGUAGCGUCUUGACGGUACUGUGAGAAUAAGGAUCGGCUAACUCCGUGCCAGCAGCCGCGGUAAUACGGAGGAUCCAAGCGUUAUCCGGAAUCAUUGGGUUUAAAGGGUCCGUAGGCGGUUUG
rnacentral:rRNA from 1 species